AUUGAACGCUGGCGGCUGGCCUAACACAUGCAAGUCGAGCGAGCGGCGGACGGGUGAGUAAUUUAUGGGGACUGCCUGAUAGACGGAGCUAAGUACUGUAAACGGUGGCUAAUGCCGCAUACUACCGUUUAACCCUUAUGGGAUUAUCUAGUAGGUGGGGUAAAGGCUCAUCUAGGAGACGCUCUCUAGCUGGGCUGAGAGGCCGAUCAGCCACACUGGGACUGAGACACGGCCCAGACUCCUAAGGAGGCAGCAGUGGGGAAUAUUGGACAAUGGGCGCAAGCCUGAUGGAGCCAUGCAGCGUGUAUGAAGAAGGCCUUAGGGUUGUAAAGUACUGUCAGCGGGGAGGCGUUACCCGAAGAGGAAGCAACGGCUAACUCCGGGCCAGCAGCCGCGGUAAUAC
rnacentral:rRNA from 1 species